UCCAGCCGCCACCGUGAAUAAAAGUUUGGAUCCGCUGCUUAUCAAGAUCGGAUCUGCUGCUUAUCAAGAUCGGAUCUGCGGCUGCGUGCCUCCGCCCAGGUUCGUGCUCCCUCAAAUCCAUCUCGUUUACAUUUUGUACCACUAGGGUAAGCCAGUGAAGGCGGCGCCGCCGGUGCCAUCGACGAUUAUCGACAGCGAAGAGGUAGGCGUUGCUUCGGUGGGUGUGUGCUUGCGCCCUGGGUGGGGUACAUGGUGCAGGGGGUCUCGUGGAUCCAUCUCGUGUAAAACAUCGGCAACUUCUGCAACAAAAAAAAAAUGAUGGGAUUGUGGUUGUGAGAUUGGCGAUGAGAAAAUCUCGUUCUUUGUUCAGCAUCUGCUGCACAUCUUUUCUAUUUAUGUAUCUUUUGCAGGGAUUGGGGAAAUAUGGCCUGGAAUAAUGUGGAAUUUCAAGUGCUAAGACUAUUUCCAUCACACGGCUGUAUCGAUCAGAUUAAUUAAGGUGCUAGUAUAUUUUUAAUUGGCCGUAUCCAUGCGUCGCCUCUGAUCAAUUUAGGUGCUAGUACUCUUUUCCAAACCAUACUUCUCUAUUCUAUUCUGUAGAGCACACAGCCACGUGAAAGUAGGGUCGAUAGGAAGACUAGAAAAUCUGCGCAUAAUGUUUGUAGUAACUUAUUUGCUUAGCCUACAUUAGUGACUGCGUUGUAGUUCACUUCCACAGCCUAAACUUAUUUGCAGGAACCUGAACUUGUUUGCUCAUAGCAUAUCAAUCUAUUGUUGCUCUAGACAGAUCAAAUGAUUAUUUGCUAAUAGCAAUAAUAUGUUGAAUGUAUUGAUCAAUUUGGGCAUGUGACAUGUAAUGCAUAACAUAACCAAAUUUAAGUGUUCCUAUUUCUGCAGAUUCAUAACCACAACGUGCUAAUUCAUUUAUUUCAGCCCAUAUGUUAAGACAAGAAAACCUGAGUUCAAUCAAAUUACAUUACUGAAUUAUGAGUCACACCUUUGCAUUAUAGAAAGGCUGACUGAUUUUGCAUUCCUGUAGGAAAGAUAUUAUGUCAAGUAUACCUCGAUAACUACGAAAGAUCAAUUUUUCAGAACAGCAAGGAGAAAAUGUAGAGCUCAGAUGGUUUACAAGGUCCUCCUGCGAUAAUAUAUUACCAGGCAUACCUCAUGAAUCUACUAAACAGUUGCAGCAAUUGAGUAUGGACUUGCUAACCUGGCAACACGUGUACAGAGGAUAUCUUUAAAUACAUCUUGUCAUUAUGAAGAUAUUGCCAAUACACGUUAAAUCUGGAACAAAGUAGGACUGAAAUGAACGAAGAUGGACGGGCAAAGCAUUUGUUUCUGCCUCAUAAAUCUAUGGAGAGAUAUUUACUAUCAUUUUUGAGAGAUAAUUGCAAUAUAGGAUUUUUAUGUUUUUUUCCCGUCCAUG